rnacentral:rRNA from 1 species
CUUGGUCAUUUAGAGGAAGUAAAAGUCGUAACAAGGUUUCCGUAGGUGAACCUGCGGAAGGAUCAUUAUCGAGAUCGAACCUCUGGGAGGGGGAGGGCUUCCCCGAACCCUUUCGAGGCUUCAGCCCUCUGACACCUGUGUGCACCCGCUGUAGGUCCUUAGGGACCUAUGUCUUCUUCCAACUCGCAUGUCUACAGAACGUCGUCCGUGACCUCGGUCACAGGAAACCUAAUACAACUUUCAGCAAUGGAUCUCUUGGCUCUCGCAUCGAUGAAGGACGCAGCGAAUCGCGAUAAGUAAUGUGAAUUGCAGAUUUUCCGUGAAUCAUCGAAUCUUUGAACGCACCUUGCGCUCCUUGGUAUUCCGAGGAGCAUGCCUGUUUGAGUGUCAUCGAAACAUCAGAUCGAAGCUUUCGACCUCGUCGGAGCUCGGUUUGGACUUGUGGGAGUCUGCGGGCGAACCUCCCGUCGGGGGGGACGUCGGCUCUCCUCAAAAGCAUUAGUGUUGGGUGCGAGCCUCGCGUGGCACGGCCUCUUCGACGUCAUAAUGACCGUCGUGGGCUGGAAGUGCGUGGAUCGUAGAUGCCCGUCGCUCUCCAACUCUGCGAGCCCGGUCCGUCCGGCCGCGUGUUAUCGAAGCUGACCUCAAAUCAG